rnacentral:misc_RNA from 1 species
UGGCGGUUGACUGCAGUGAGCAGAGCAUGUAUUGAACGCCUUGAGAUGGGCGCUCGGCAACCUCAGGCUCCUAUCCCCUGCGCCCGACUCUAAUGAAACCCCAGGCUCCUUCAUCAUGCUCCACGUCCAAUCUCCACCUCUGAUUGUAGCUUGCCUCAAUCCCGGCGUCGCCCCCUUCGGUGGGCCCAGUUACCAUAAGCACAGCUCAUUCGAUCAUGAAUCUGUUUAUGCCUUUAAGGUUUGAUUUUUAGUAUUUGAUUUGAUUUUUAGUAUUUUCCUCCCUUGUCAAUUAUUUACUUGAGUUAAGCUGUACAGUCAUGUGAUUUGUCAUAUUAUAUAAAAGUGAGUAUUAGAUAAAAAAAAGUCAUAUUUAUUUUAGAUGAGAG